GGAAGGUGCAAGCGUUAAUCGGAAUCACUGGGGCGUAAAGAGCGCGUAGGCGGUUAGAUAAGUCGGGUGUGAAAGCCCCCGGGGGGCUCAACCUGGGGAACUGCAUUCGAUACUGUCUGACUAGAGUGUGAUAGAGGGAGGCGGAAUUCCGCAUGUAGCGGUGAAAUGCGUAGAGAUGCGGAGGAACACCAAUGGCGAAGGCAGCCUCCUGGAUCAACACUGACGCUGAGGCGCGAAAGCGUGGGGAGCGAACAGGAUUAGAUACCCUGGUAGUCCACGCCGUAAACGAUGUCAACUAGCCGUUGGGAGCAAUUUGGCUCUUGGUGGCGCAGCUAACGCGAUAAGUUGACCGCCUGGGGAGCACGGUCGCAAGAUUA
rnacentral:rRNA from 1 species